ACCCCGUUGAGGGGAGUGAAAUAGAACCUGAAACCAUAUACUUACAAGCGGUAGGAGCACAAUAUUAUAUACUAGAGCGCGGUAGGCGCGACAUGUUGUGUACAUGCGUGUGCAUAGUGUGGGAUAUAAGAAGUGUGACUGCGUGCCUUUUGCAUAAUGAUCCGGCGAGUUACCGUAUGCGGCAAGGUUAAGUGUUUACGACACGGAGCCCAAGCGAAAGCGAGUGUGAAUAGCGCGACAAAGUCGUAUGUGGUAGACCCGAAAGCCAGUGAUCUAACCAUGGCCAGGGUGAAGCGGGUGUAAAAGCUCGUGGAGGCCCGAAUGCACUGAUGUUGAAAAAUCAGGCAAUGAGCUGUGGUUAGGAGUAAAAGUCUAAUCAAACUGGCCAAUAUCUGGUUCUCUCCGAAAUAGCUUUCGGGCUAGCCUUUCGUGGUAGCAUGUGGGGGUAGAGCGACUGAAUAGGUCAGUGG
rnacentral:rRNA from 12 species